CGGAGCCCCUCCGCCGCGGUGCUUUCCGAGGGGCGGCAGAUUUGGAUCCCCCCGGUCGGCUCCUGCGUGCUCGGGGCUCCCCCUCGCCUCGCCGCAGGCGCGCUCUCUGAUUUUAACUUUCCUAAGCCAGCCCUUCAGGCGAGGACUGGAGGAGACUUCUCCUACCGACACAGUGCCCUGUGGGGCUCAGGGCUGGCCAUAGUGCCGGAGGAGCAUAGAGAAGAUGUUGGCUACUUACAAGCUGCACCACCUCAAAGAAAAACACUCCCAAAAAGCAGCCCCCCACGCAGCACCGGGCCGCCGCCGGCCGGCCCUGUCCAGGGUCCUGAACCCUCCAGGCAGCUCAGCGAGCACGCUCCGCUCUGCCAGCGGCGGGGCAGCAUGAUCUGCGCCUUCCUGCAGAGUAUCAACGUCCUGGAGUGAGGAAGCCACCUUACUAGCGCAUGAGGCCGGAAUAGGCACAGACACGAAUCGCUGCCGUUCGGCCUCUGCCUCCCUUUUCUCUAGCAAUCAUUUCUGCCUAUUCCUACUCAGGGCUCCAUUUUUGCAUAAAGCCCAGCCCUUCCCAAAACAUUCCCCAUUUCUAGCCUACAACCAUUCUCUUGCCAUCAAAGAGACAGAGAGGAACUGAAGUAUGCACAGUGUGAAGAAUGACCUUCCUACAGUGACGGUGCUGCCCUUGAAGUCCAAAGCCACUGCUGCUGCAAUGAGAGAACAUGGCUGUGGUGCUGUUUGUGCCUGGGGAAGGCAUUUGUUAGAGCUGAGACCAGCAGGGAAAGCUGCCAUUCCUGCACAUAUGGAGAGCUUGCUGUUGCUUAGCAGCAGAGAGUUCCCUGAGGUCUAUUCAGAGAGGCCUAGUUUGAGGUGGUGGCCGGGAGUAUUUCUCCAGCAUCUUAAAAAGACAUUUGAGUGAUGAUGGGAGGAAGAGAAGCUGCUCUGAUAAGAAUGACAGUGAGGAGAAGGUGCGAACGUAUUUGGGAAAUGGGAAAACUUCAGGUGAUAUCUACCCCAGUGUGCUAAGUUAUCAAUGGUUCUGUGUGGAAGAUUACUCGGAACAAAAUGGACAUAUGAGCGAUCCAGGUCUCAUGUCGAUAGCAAGGGUUUGAGUAAAGUGAUGCGGCCUAGCGACAAGGUUAUGAAAGAACACUUGGGGCGACGAAAUGAGGAAGUUAUCUCGAGAGGAAAACAACUCCCAGAUCUGGAAUAAGGAAUUUGGCACGAUUAAGUACUUAUAAGGCAUUCGCAUGAACCAGGAGCUUGAACCAAUCCUGAACGGUUGCUAUGCAUGUGUAUUAGUAAGCUUAACCAAUCAGAACCGUAUAAAGUUCUCGCGGACACUCAGUGAGGGUAUAUAACCAGCUAUUUGGGCUAAAUAAAAGUGUCAGCAUUUAAUCACA